GAUGAACGCUGGCGGCGUGCCUAAUACAUGCAAGUCGAGCGAACAGACGAGGAGCUUGCUCCUCUGAUGUUAGCGGCGGACGGGUGAGUAACACGUGGAUAACCUACCUAUAAGACUGGGAUAACUUCGGGAAACCGGAGCUAAUACCGGAUAACAUGUUGAACCGCAUGGUUCAACAGUGAAAGACGGUCUUGCUGUCACUUAUAGAUGGAUCCGCGCCGCAUUAGCUAGUUGGUAAGGUAACGGCUUACCAAGGCAACGAUGCGUAGCCGACCUGAGAGGGUGAUCGGCCACACUGGAACUGAGACACGGUCCAGACUCCUACGGGAGGCAGCAGUAGGGAAUCUUCCGCAAUGGGCGAAAGCCUGACGGAGCAACGCCGCGUGAGUGAAGAAGGUCGUCGGAUCGUAAAACUCUGUUAUUAGGGAAGAACAAAUGUGUAAGUAACUAUGCACGUCUUGACGGUACCUAAUCAGAAAGCCACGGCUAACUACGUG
rnacentral:rRNA from 1 species